UUUAUUGAUGCAUGUGAUAUGACUCCGAGUCCAUUGGACUCCUUUCCCUUGCAUAUCCGUCGAGUCAAACCCCAUGCCAAAAUUUCAAAAUGAACCAAAGGACAAGAAACAAGGCUGGUAUACACUUGUGUACAACUGAUAUACGUUGGAAGCAGCAGCUGCGCACUAUUACACCAUAUACAAUAAAAAAUGGAGGGAAAAUAAGCAUGUUU
rnacentral:lncRNA from 1 species